rnacentral:tRNA from 1 species
ACUAUUUUGUCAGAAAAAUGUGAUGGUUUUAGAAAUCAUUUAUAUAUAAAUAUUGUUAUAUAAUUAGUA